GGCAGCGUAGCUCAGUUGGUUAGAGCGUCGGACUCAUAACCCGAAGGUCGGUGGUUCGAUUCCACCCGCUGCUA
rnacentral:tRNA from 1 species